UACGGAGGGUGCAAGCGUUAUCCGGAUUCACUGGGUUUAAAGGGAGCGUAGGUGGGUUGGUAAGUCAGUGGUGAAAUCCCCGAGCUUAACUUGGAAACUGCCGUUGAUACUAUCUGUCUUGAAUAUUGUGGAGGUGAGCGGAAUAUGUCAUGUAGCGGUGAAAUGCUUAGAUAUGACAUAGAACACCAAUUGCGAAGGCAGCUCACUACACAAUCAUUGACUCUGAGGCACGAAAGCGUGGGGAUCAAACAGG
rnacentral:rRNA from 1 species